UACUUACCCAGUGGGAGGGAGGUUGGGGUUGAGGCCCAGGACUUAGGAUUUCCCAUCUGUUGCAGGUGCCCUGCUCCAGGUAGGAAGCUUUCUGCACCCAAGUGAGGAAGGAGGGAGCCCUACCCUGACCCUCCAGCCCAUGCCCCCCAGUCCUCAGCUCCUGAGCUCCUGCACGGCCCACAGUGGGCCACCAUGUGACGCCUCUGGUUCCCGGACUCACGGAAGUUCUCCGCCCUGCUGAAGACGUCUGUGCGCGCUGGCUCUGGAGUUGGAACCAGAGUCUCAAGGAGCGCUGCCUUCUCUGUUAUCCUCGGCCGUGCCUGAAAGGGCAACAAGGUUUUGCAAUUGGAUCGGAGACCGGCCAGGGACCCAGCCAUAAUGGUAUUCAUGUUUAUUCUGUAGGGAGCCCUUUCUAUCUGCAAAUAUUAGCUAAUCCUUGGCUUCGCUCUGAGAGAGAUGCCAGCGAGAUAGACAGAGGCUGGGGCCCGAGUCAGGAGCUAUGCCGAGAAGAAUUGAAGAGCAGCAUCAACGGGUGCCCGGGGGAGCUGAAUCAAGAGACACAGCUAAUCCCUGGCCCUCCUAUUAUCUCUUGACAUAUUACAGUCUGGCUUCUGGUCCCUGGAAUGUCCAGGGAGCAGGGAUUUCUGCUUCAUUAAUUUUCCGGGCACUUUGAGGUUAAUGGGGGGAGAGGAAAAGUCUCUCUUUUCAGAUUUUGUUGUGGAAAAUCACUGAGUCCUGGUUUCCCCUCCUCGCCUUGGGAAGCCCAUGCAGGCCCAAGAUGGAGCCUGGGGGCGGCGGGGGCAGUUGUCAAGCCUGCAUUCCGCAUGCAGCACCUGGUUCUAUGGUGUGCAAGGUGCGGGGGGCUGCGCGGCUUCUCUUCUGGCCCCAGGAUGAACCCUUCAAACUCUUUCAUUUCUCAAACAAGCCCUCUGGCGUGAUGCAGCCUUUCUUGUCAGCGGCCUCUCUCUCCCCAGAGCAGGACGAGGAAACCUUCCCAGAUAACAGGGUGAGAGAAAACACAUGUCAAGUAGAAGCUUGCAAGUGAACGCAGGGAAAAGAAUGCUCCCAGGGCUCCCCAGGCUGGGUGCGCAGCCUGGACAAACCAGCCGGGGCACUGUGACAGGCUCCGUUGUGCUUCCUCUCCACAAAGUCAUGGGUUGAAGCCUUCACCCUCAAUGUCACUGUAUUUGGAGAUAGGACCUUUCAGGAGAUUGAAGGUUAAACAAUGUCAUAAGGGUGGGAGCCUUGUCUGAUUGGACUGAUGUCCUUCUAAGGAGAGGAAGAGACGGCAGGGAUGCUCGCGUGCAGAGGAAAGAGUGUGUGAAGCCACAGCAGGAAGGGGAUCGCCUGCAAGCCCAGGAGACACCAAAGCCAUGAACGCCUCGAUCUUGGACUUUGAGAUCACAAAUAGGGAAAAAUAAAUGUUGGUUGUUGAACCGCCAAGU
rnacentral:lncRNA from 1 species